UAUUUACCCCUAAAAUUCUAAUC
rnacentral:miRNA from 1 species